UCAUACAGUGUGCAUAUGUUGGGUGGGAGUAUUGGCAUAUCCUAUCUAUUAACAAUAGAAACCGCUUCACAUAAUACUGUUAGGGGCAAAAGAGGCGCGUACCCAGCACCUUCUCCCUCGUCCCCCGACGCUGUAGCUUCAAGAAAAUUGCGCGUUUUUCAAAUCCCUCUCCAACUGAGAAUCUCACUUUUGUCCUUCAUCACUAUAAGAUUUUGAUUCUAUUCCUUUUAUAUUCUUAUUUUGAUUCUGAUGCUUGCUCAGCACCUUCUUCUCCAUCGCAGCAUCAUACAAGUUUUCCAUCCACCUUAUAAAUACCCUAAUCAAUGGAAGGCAUGGAGAAUGAAGGUUAGGGUUGUAAGGAUUCCUCAUCUCAAUUCUUGUUUUCUUUGUGUGCAUAAAAAAUCUCUAGCAAAUACAAUAUUCUAAAGGUUUGUACACAAUUUCAUAUCAGUUUUGCCAUGGGUAGGUCAUUAUUUUCCACAAUUCUGUUUGCUAAAUUAAAUUUGAAGUAUUGAUUCAAUUAUGAGUUAUUUGGAAUGGUUGAUACAUUGAUAGAUGAUUAUAUAAGUUUGAUUCACUAGGCGACGAGAUUCAAUGGACAACUUUAGAAGACAAUUGUGAGUUGUGGAAGAUCCCAUGAUUAUUCAAGCUAUUGCAACAGGAAAUAAUGGCAGAAAGUUUGGUAUGAGAGAUGAAAAUUGCUUGACUACAUAUAUGUAUGUAAGGAGCUAAAAGUAAUGGAAAGAAGAAAAAUUAUAGCUUUCGGGGAUUUUGGUCAUCGAGCAUUUCACAAAGGAUUUUGGGGCUUUUGUCAUUCUCAUAGUUAAUGCCUUAGACUCAAUGAAAUGUGUGGCUGCUGUAAAAAGGAAAGGAGAAGUGCAAGAAGAGGAUAUUUGCAUGAAGUUUCUCACUUCCUUUUCAUUGAUGAAGAAAGAGGUGAGUGAAGAUCCAUUCAUCUUGCUUCUUGCAAAGGUAGUAGAAGUUUUAUGUAUUUUGAUUGUCUUAAUUUAAUUUUUUUUCCUGGUUGAUUUGGAAGAAGCUGAAUACAUAGUGUUCAAGUACAUAUGGUGAAUAGAGGAGGAAUACAGAAAUACAACUUAUGAUAUGAGGUUAGGACUUGGGAAUUUGUAAGAAUGUGACAUUAGUGGUAGUAAUUUUUACUGUUGCAGAAAUUGCACUGAUGUAUGGCCAAUUGGUAUUGCUUAUGCUACUUCAUGUAUGCUGCCAUAAUAACUACCAGCAAAUACAUCGAAUGAGUGCUCAACUUGGUACAUGUUAUGUAGUCAAAACACAUAUUAAAUGCUUAAAGAAUGUAUGUGAAGAAGAAAAAAAAGAAGCUAUGUUAAGUAUGUUAAGAAGUCUUCUCACAUUCAAUGAUGAUACACAAUUUUAUUUUUUUGAACAAAUUAACUAUAUCUUUAUGAAUUGUUGAUGUCAAACAUGAAUCCAAGAUUGAUCAAGUAGUUGGUACUUAAAGAAAAUUUGUCUCAAUGAUGAAAUUGGUAAUGUCCAUGUUAAGAAAGAUUGUGAAGGCUGUGAAAAUUGACAAUGAUGAAUAUGAGUUUAAGAUUGUGAAGGUUGUGUCAA